CCCUUUUCUGAGUCACUAUGUCUCUCAGCCUGGCCAGGGCCCUGGUCAUUGAUAGUGCAGGGAGAGGAAUUGCUGAAAGCGUUUCCCCAUGUUUGGAGGGUCUGCAUUUGUCCCUUUCAAACUCUGGAGCUUUUGUACA
ensembl:snoRNA SNORA71 Small nucleolar RNA SNORA71